rnacentral:misc_RNA from 1 species
GAUGAAGAACGCAGCGAAAUGCGAUAAGUAAUGUGAAUUGCAGAACUCAGUGAAUCAUCGAAUCUUUGAACGCACAUUGCGCCCCCUGGUAUUCCGGGGGGCAUGCCUGUCCGAGCGUCAUUACAACCCUCAAGCUCAGCUUGGUGUUGGGCCCCGCCGCCCCGGCGGGCCCUAAAGUCAGUGGCGGUGCCGUCCGGCUCCGAGCGUAGUAAUUCUUCUCGCUCUGGAGGUCCGGUCGUGUGCUCGCCAGCAACCCCCAAUUUUUUUCAGGUUGACCUCGGAUCAGGUAGGGAUACCCGCUGAACUUAAGCAUAUCAAUAAGCGGAGGA